rnacentral:rRNA from 1 species
AAUCAACGCUGGCGGCGCGCCUUAACACAUGCAAGUCGAGCGAGAAAGGGGAGCAAUCCCUGAGUACAGCGGCGUACGGGUGAGUAACACGUGGGUGAUCUACCUUCUAGUGGGGGAUCACCCUGGGAAACCGGGGCUAAUACCGCAUAAGCCUGUGAAGGGAAAGCAGCAAUGCGCUGGAAGAGGAGCCCGCGGCCGAUUAGCUAGUUGGUGAGGUAACGGCCCACCAAGGCGAUGAUCGGUAGCCGGCCUGAGAGGGCACACGGCCACACUGGCACUGAAACACGGGCCAGACUCCUACGGGAGGCAGCAGUGGGGAAUCUUGCACAAUAGAGGCAACUCUGAUGCAGCGACGCCGCGUGAGCGAUGAAGCCCUUCGGGGUGUAAAGCUCUUUCGGC